GACCAGCGGUAUCUGAAAUAAAUACAUAGAAAAGCAAUUAAGACCAGCGGUUAUAUUUUCUAACAGUAGAAUGCGUUUAAUUAAAAUGAAAAUAGAGGUACGAUUUAAUUUGCGCAAAUGUAUACCAGACCUGAAAACUUGUGUUUUUUCCUAUUUUCACGAGGAUUCCUAACUCUAAUGGAAUUUUUUUUUAAUUUUUCUAAAAUAUUACAAAUAUGUUUUCCUAUCUAUUUAGAUUAGAUUUAGAAUUCUUAUAAAUAUCCAUAAUAUUUUCAUUAUGUAAUAGUUUUAGAUUUAUUCAAUAGAAUUUUCUUCUUUAUAAAGUUGUCUUUGCUUUAUUUUAUUCUUAAAUUCUAGAUUCAAUCUCUCGGAUUAGAUCGUGUGUAGAUACUUUUGUGCGUACACGCUACUGCACUAGAUCACAUCAACAAGUAAAUCAAGUUAAGUUCAUAUUGUUUUAGUGAAGAUACCAUAAAUAAACAUAAAAAAUGGGAAGAAGAUAAGCAUUUUCGCAACACUUAGUCAAAGGUCAUCAAAUAAUUAAAGAAAUUGUCGAAUUGAGAUUAUAAAUUACUAAAUAGAAAAAGGAAUUAAGAUAAAUGUUCUAACUUCUAACGAUUUAACCACAUCAACUAGAAUAAGAACCUAAAAUCGAUAACUAAUUAUUCGGCAAAAAUUUUACAUAAUCGAUAACUAAAUCGCAAAAAGUCCGCAUCAAAAACAGAGUCUAGCUCAGUCCAGAAACAAAUUUGCGUCAUUCAAGAAGAAACCGAAUCAAAGUUCAGUAGCCAGUUAUACAUUUCUCUAAACUCACAGAAUCCAAUCAGUCUCAGAACAUCAAGCACAAAAACUAAAACAACUACUAGAGAAGGAAGUAGAGAGAAAAAAUUCCAAGAAAGCAGCAAGAAGAAGGUAGUAAGUGAAGACAGAAGGCACGACCGGGUCCAGAUAGAUGUAGCCAUGGACAUUAUCGCGAACCUGCUUGGAGAAUCGGCGAUCGUGAUAAGACGCAGAGUAGCCAUUCUCUCUGGAACAAGUUCCCAUGGCGAGUUCAACGAACAGGGAAAAGAGAUAUGUUGGCGUAGGAAUAAAGAGGAAUAUGGACGAGACGCAGCGAGUGAUGCCCGCCUAAGACGUGCUUGUGUUGGUGUAGGUUGCGAGUGCGCCUGGAAUAGACGAGCCAAUCGAGAUUGGAGAAUGUGGAUUGAAAAAGUAGAAGCGUUAACAGAAAUAAUCUAAUGGCUAAUGCAUAAUUAAGAAGGUUUUUAAUUUGGAUUAAUAAAUUAUGACAGUAAUUAACGAAUGUAGCGAUAAAAGUUGGAAUUUGAAAGGAACGAAAAUGGAGGUGCUUUAUCUACCAAAAAGAAAGCAAAAACAAGGAGCUUUUUCCUUAAUGAAUUGCCUUUUGGCGAUUGACAAGAAAGCAUAGCUUAUGAUUGAUGACACGUUUCCCUAUUUUGCUGGAGGUAGUGCCUCACAGCUGUCUUGUUUUUAU
rnacentral:misc_RNA from 1 species